UGUAUGGCUCAGUCAGUAGAGCGCACGCUUGUUGAGCGUAAGGUUGCAAGAUCGAUUCCUG
rnacentral:tRNA from 12 species